GCCACGGUGGUCUAGCGGUUAGAACGCUGGCCUUGUAAUCCUGGGGUCUCGGGUUCGAUUCC
rnacentral:tRNA from 1 species